rnacentral:lncRNA from 1 species
UUUCUUUCUCUUUCUCCCUCCACCAAAUAUCUCUCUCACCGUCGCCGGAAAGAAGCGGAGAGUGAGAGAGAAUCGCUCGCAAUCGCGUAGAGACAUGAAAAACAAAAAACAAUGUCCAUUGAAUUUGAGUUUUGGCUUUUUGAGUUUAUGAGUUUCUAAUUGAUUAUUUUUUUAUCGCAAAACAGAUCGUCACGAGAGAAGAGGCAAUGGAUGAUGGAUUGAAAAGCUGCUCUUUCUCUUUCUGAACACCAAAUUUAUUUUGAAUUUUGAUCAUCCUAUAACCACUUUUUUUUUUUGAAUUGGUAAAGUGAUUCUGUUUUCAUGUUGUUUUAUAGUGAUUGUGAUUCUGUUUGUGUUUAUGUUUUCAGCUACAAAAUCUGGAGAGUUUAAUUGAACAAAUUAGGGUACUAAAGGGAGAGAUCGAUGAGCAGAUCGAUGAGAAGAUUAAGCUAACUGUUGAACUUGAUAUGCUGUUUUUAAUGUUCACCCGUAGUGAGGUACGUUAAUUAUUCAUACUCCAUUGAUUUCUCUGUUUCUGUUGAUUGAAUCUUAUGUAUAUGAUUUGUUCAUGCUUAAUUGUGUUUUUUUAUCUAGGAUGAGUUUUCUUUUCACUACAUUGGAAGUAGCGUUAACUAUUGAAAAAAUAAUUAUUCAUACUCCAUUGAAAAUGUUCAGCUUCAAACAAUAUAUACAGUUUAGUAAAUUUUCUUUGGUUUGUAAAAAUUUUUUUCUUUUUUUUUUUCCUUAUAAACUUGAUUGCAAUACCAUUAUUAUUUUUUUGUUCUUAGAGUGUAAUGAAUUUUCUAUUGAAAAUUUGAAGUUGUGUCAAUCUUUCGUGUUCAUGUAACUCCUAACCCCACAUGCAAAAUCAGUCACAAACUCUGUAAAUCGGUCACAAACUCUAUUGAAAAUAUUUUGCGACGCUAUGGGUGUUCUUGUUUUUAUGGCCACUAAAUCGAUCUUUAAAGUCGAGAUUUCU